rnacentral:rRNA from 1 species
GCUCAGGAUGAACGCUGGCGGCGUGCUUAACACAUGCAAGUCGAACGAUGAAGACCGUGCUUGCACGGUUGGAUUAGUGGCGAACGGGUGAGUAUCACGUGAGUAACCUUCCCUUGACUCUGGGAUAAGCCCGGGAAACUGGGUCUAAUACCGGAUACGACCAGUCCUCGCAUGGGGUGCUGGUGGAAAGAUUUAUCGGUCUUGGAUGGACUCGCGGCCUAUCAGCUUGUUGGUGAGGUAAUGGCUCACCAAGGCGAUGACGGGUAGCCGGCCUGAGAGGGUGACCGGCCACACUGGGACUGAGACACGGCCCAGACUCCUACGGGAGGCAGCAGUGGGGAAUAUUGCACAAUGGGCGAAAGCCUGAUGCAGCGACGCCGCGUGCGGGAUGACGGCCUUCGGGUUGUAAACCGCUUUCAGCAGGGAAGAAGCGAAAGUGACGGUACCUGCAGAAGAAGCGCCGGCUAACUACGUGCCAGCAGCCGCGGUAAUACGUAGGGCGCGAGCGUUAUCCGGAAUUAUUGGGCGUAAAGAGCUCGUAGGCGGUUUGUCACGUCUGCUGUGAAAGCCCGAGGCUCAACCUCGGGUGUGCAGUGGGUACGGGCAGACUAGAGUGCAGUAGGGGAGACUGGAAUUCCUGGUGUAGCGGUGAAAUGCGCAGAUAUCAGGAGGAACACCGAUGGCGAAGGCAGGUCUCUGGGCUGUUACUGACGCUGAGGAGCGAAAGCAUGGGGAGCGAACAGGAUUAGAUACCCUGGUAGUCCAUGCCGUAAACGUUGGGCACUAGGUGUGGGGGACAUUCCACGUUUUCCGCGCCGUAGCUAACGCAUUAAGUGCCCCGCCUGGGGAGUACGGCCGCAAGGCUAAAACUCAAAGGAAUUGACGGGGGCCCGCACAAGCGGCGGAGCAUGCGGAUUAAUUCGAUGCAACGCGAAGAACCUUACCAAGGCUUGACAUGGACCGGAUCGCUGCAGAGAUGCAGUUUCCCUUCGGGGUCGGUUCACAGGUGGUGCAUGGUUGUCGUCAGCUCGUGUCGUGAGAUGUUGGGUUAAGUCCCGCAACGAGCGCAACCCCUAUCCUAUGUUGCCAGCACGUCAUGGUGGGGACUCAUGGGAGACUGCCGGGGUCAACUCGGAGGAAGGUGGGGACGACGUCAAAUCAUCAUGCCCCUUAUGUCUUGGGCUUCACGCAUGCUACAAUGGCCGGUACAAUGGGUUGCGAUACUGUGAGGUGGAGCUAAUCCCUAAAAGCCGGUCUCAGUUCGGAUCGAAGUCUGCAACUCGACUUCGUGAAGUUGGAGUCGCUAGUAAUCGCAGAUCAGCAACGCUGCGGUGAAUACGUUCCCGGGCCUUGUACACACCGCCCGUCAAGUCACGAAAGUGGGUAACACCCGAAGCCGGUGGCCUAACCCUUGUGGGGGGAGCCGUCGAAGGUGGGACUCGCGAUUGGGACUAAGUCGUAACAAGGUAGCCGUACCGGAAGGUGCGGCUGGAUCACCUC